UUGGAAUCAGCCAUUUCUCCUAGGAGCCCUGGUUUCUUUUUUAGAAAAAAACAAGAUCUAAGCACUGGGUGUUAGUAUGGAUAUUUUAUUCAAUAAAAUGAACACAUUUUCCUCUGAAUCAGAAGAAAAACAUAAUAAGGCUUAUACAAUAAAAUAUUUAUAAUACUUAUAAAAGAUUAUCUCAUUUUCAUGGAUUAAAAUUAACUCCCUAACUUAUGAAUCAGUUAACUAUAUUUCAAAAUGAAUUUAAAUUUUAAAUUUUAUAUUGUUAGAUACACACGGCUGACUUGGAAAUUGUAUGCACAGAACAUUGAUAGUACCAAAUGACAAAUGGUUUGUGAAUCAAUUGAGAGAUCUUCCUUUCUUCACAUCAAAAUAAAGAAGAGAAUACUAUGUUUCCCAAUGCUAUUAAAACGAGUACACGUUUGUAUUUAUCAAUAAGUACGGACAUGAGUCCAGCAAGCAGUACCACGUCACUUCCUGUUAGUCCUCUUACCGAAGAGCCAGUGCCUUUCAAGGAUAUAAUGAAAGAUGAAUGCUCGAUGCUCAAGCUGCAGCUGAAAGAGAAGGAUGAACUCAUUUCCCAACUUCAGGAAGAACUGGUAAGUGAUAACAAUACUUGGCCCACAGAGUGUACUUUCCUUGCAAGGUUAUUUGUUCCACACCCUUAUUU
rnacentral:lncRNA from 1 species